GAUUAUUUGGCUUGUCCGAGAUGGGCUUGGGAACUACUCAUCAACAGCGACAUACUCCAAAUCGUAAUUAGAAAUGGAGAAAGUAAGUACUUAUAUAUAAUACUAAAAUCAGUGAACGUUGGUAACCUGUUACCAGCAGGCAAAAGAGCAUACAUUAAUAAUUAACCAGGGCCGUGGAAAAUUUUCAAACAUUUUAAGGAAAUGACAAAGUAGGGGUGUGGCUUUACACCCCAAUAUUUUCUUAAAUUAGUGACCCAAACAUUUCAAAAAAUAAUUUUAACAAAUAUAUAGAGGCACGGACUAGAAUAAUAUUAUUCAAUAGCCCACAGUAAUACAUACAAUGAUUUUUAAAUUUAAUUUUAUGAAAAUAUGUCACUUGGAACAAAUAGUGCAAUAAUGCUGUCUACAAACAUAAUAUCUAAAAAAGUCUAGCAGAGAUCAGGCUUGCAGCUGGCAGACAAAG